rnacentral:lncRNA from 1 species
CAGAAGUCUCCUCAUUAACAUAAACCCCGCUGUGAUGAAUUGUUUAUCCAGUGAGUUUGUGCCAGAGAAACUGAGAUAUUGGAAAUCAGGUAGAGGUUUGUGAUGGGCAGAAAGAACUACAGCAUCAUAGGAGAUCCAACAGUCAGUUGGAGGUUAGAUCAACCUCCUUCACAAUGGCCUGAAAUAUGUGAAAAACAGCAUUACCUUUCCAGGCCAGGGCAAGGCAAAAGAUGAACAAAAGAAACAUAAGGACCUUCAUGGUUCAAUUUGAUUUGGAGGUCUCCUGCAUUUAUAUAGGACCAGAUGUCAAGUGGAGCCUUUUUCAGUAGUGAAAUAUGCACCGAGGGAAGACACAGGGAGAUUUGACAGCAAAGAGAAGAGAAGGAAACAUGAAGACGGAGCAGAGAGAUUUGAAGAUGCUGCCUUUGAAGACUGAAGUGAAGCCAAAGAAUGCUGGCAACCACCUGACGCUGAAAAAGGCAUGGAAUGAAUUCUCCCCAUAGGCCUCUCAAAAGAUGGAGGUUGUGCUGAUGCCUUGAUUUCACUCCUGUGAUACUGAUUUUG